AUACGUAGGUGGCAAGCGUUAUCCGGAAUUAUUGGGCGUAAAGAGGGAGCAGGCGGCAGCAAGGGUCUGUGGUGAAAGCCUGAAGCUUGACUUCAGUAAGCCAUAGAAACCAGGCAGCUAGAGUGCAGGAGAGGAUCGUGGAAUUCCAUGUGUAGCGGUGAAAUGCGUAGAUAUAUGGAGGAACACCAGUGGCGAAGGCGACGAUCUGGCCUGCAACUGACGCUCAGUCCCGAAAGCGUGGGGAGCAAAUAGGAUUAGAUACCCUAGUAGUCCACGCCGUAAACGAUGAGUACUAAGUGUUGGAUGUCAAAGUUCAGUGCUGCAGUUAACGCAAUAAGUACUCCGCCUGAGUAGUACGUUCGCAAGAAUGAAACUCAAAGGAAUUGACGGGG
rnacentral:rRNA from 1 species